UAAACUAGGGAUAGAUACCCUAUUAUUUUUAUUAAAAUUUAAUUUAAUUUAAAUAUUAAAUGUUAAGCAUUAAAAAUAAAAAAUUUGGCGGUACUUAAUAAUUAGAGGAACUUGUUUGUUAAAUUGAUAAUCCACGAAUGGAGAGACUUAAUUUAAGAAUUUUUUUAUGUAUUGUUGUUGAAAAAUUAUAUUAAUAGAUAAUUAAUUAAAAAAUUUAAAAGAAAUUAUAAUUCAAAUCAAAAUGUAGAAUAGUUAAGAAGUUAAUGAGUUACAAUUAAUUAAAUAAUUGAAUUUUAUUAGGAUAAUUUAAUUUAUAAAUGAAAGUGGAUUUAAAAGUAAAAAUAUAAAAAUUUAUAAGUGAAUAGAAUUUUU
rnacentral:rRNA from 1 species